CAGAAAAAAUGUUAACAAAAUAAAGAUAACUAUAAUAACUAAUUCAGAUGCAUUAAGAUAUCUACCCAUCCAUCCAAAAAUACCAAGGUGAAAAUGGUUCCAUGCACACCCACCUUAAUAGUAAAUUUGGAAAAGAAAAUACUAGGAAAACUUUAAAAAUUAUGAAAGUUUGGGUUAUCAAACUUGGUAUGCCAUUAUACCCACGUGUGAAGUUUUUCGACCACAGCUCAAAAAUAAAUAAAAAAGAAAUAAAAAAUUAAGUGGCUGACCACAGCUCAAAAAGAAAUUAAAAAAAAUAAGUGGCUGACCAGUGGGUUCCCUACUGAUGGGCCCGUUAAUUUUGGCCCAACCAACAUCGAAACCUCCCUCCUAUAGGAGGACGAGCAGUCGCCUCCACACACACACACACAGCCGACACUCAGAAACCCCAAAUCCACAAACCCUCGCCGGCGCCGGCGCCGACGCCGCCGACGGCCAUGGCCGAGCGGGAGUUCGCCAACGUCGACCCAGCGACGGCGGCCGAUGCGCGGCGCAAGGGAUGCGACCCCCGCAAGCUCGACCAGGCCGCGGAGAACGUUCUAGCCUACAUCUACGCCACCCUCCCCAGCUUCCCCGUCUACCCCGGCACGCGGCUCCCGGCCCUCGCCGCCUCCUCCGACGGCGUCGACCGCAUCAGCCGCCUCCCCGACGAGCCCCUGCGCAACAUCGUCGCCCGCCUCCCCGUCAAGGACGCCGCGCGCACCGCCGUGCUCUCCUCCCGCUGGCGCGCGCUCUGGCCCUCCACGCCCCUCGUCCUCGUCGACUCCUUCCUCCUCCCCAAAGGCCAGGGCUUCCGCCCCACCCCGGCCAGCUCGCCGGCCGUCACGGCCGCCGUCUCCGACAUCCUCGAGGCGCACCCGGGGCCCUUCCGCUGCAUCCACCUCGUCUGCACUCAGAGCGCGUACCGGAACCAGAACCAGCUCGCGCGCUGGCUCCAGCUCCUCGCCGCCAAGGCCGUCCAGGACCUCGUCCUCGUCAACCGCCCGUGGCCGCGCGACGUGCCCCUCCCGCCCACGAUCUUCGCCAUCACCACCCUCACCCGCCUCUACGUCGGCCUGUGGAAGCUGCCGGACACGGCCGCCCUGCGCGGCGCCUCCUUCCCCCACCUCCGCGAGCUCGGCCUCUGCUGCGUCGAAAUGGAGCAGGGCGUGGUGGACUCCCUCGUCGCCAGGAGCCCCGUCCUGGAGGUCCUCAACAUCCUGGGAUGCAUCAAUGGGCUGCGCCUCCGCCUCCUCAGCCAGAGCCUACGCUGCCUGCAGAUCAGCUGCUCGAAAAUGGAGCACAUCGCCGUGGUGAAGGCUCCGUGCCUCGAGCGGCUCAUCCUUUUUGGAUCUGGCAAAAUCGAUGGCGGCUUGUGCAGCAGACUCAAGAUUGGCGAUGUCCCCAAGCUGCACGCUUUUGGAUACUUGGAUCCAGGCCAGGUCCUGCAGAUCCGAGACACCAUCAUCAUGGUACAUCUCUCAUCUCCGGUCUCACCAUUUGUUCAGUUAGCAAAUAUAUAUGUCCAUGACUCAAUUGUGUGAUACUCCUUCUUGAAUUGGGGGAAUUUCAGCCCGGGAUAGCAAGCACAAGUACCAUGAUGAGAAGCGUCAAGAUUUUGAGCUUGAAUGUGCGUUUCGGAGUUCGCAAUGAGGUCAAGAUGGUGCCCAACUUUCUGAGAUGCUUUCCCAACGCGGAGAGACUCCAUAUUCUGGUAUUUGUCAUCAAUCCAUGUUCUGCUUGCAUUUGUACCGAUUUCUUGCUUCUUGUUGCCGGCUGUGAUAGACUGGAGUAUGCAAUUAGAAUGGUUGGGCUUGCAUGUUCAUCUGUUUAUGUAUGACAUUUGUGAAGUUUUGUCGUGCCACAGUUUAUAAUGCCAUUGUUUUGAUCUCUUUUUCUUUGCUUCUUGAUUUCCUGGUUUUUCCAGAUUUCCUUGUUUUAGUUUUUCGCGGUCUGUUCAUGCUAGCUAGUAGUAUUUGUGAUGUGGAAUGUGGAUGAUGCAAAUGGCAUGCAAUGCUUAUUUCAAACUGUUUAGGCCUCCUUUGGUUUGGAGGAAUUUUGUAGGAUUUUCAUAGGAUAGGAUUUCUAUAGGAAAAAUUCCUUCAGAGCUCUUUGGUUUGUAGGAAUGAAAUCCUAUUCCUAUGGAGGAAUUCUUCCUAUCCUCCACAUUUCAUAGGAAAACAAACAUUAGCCUAGACUCAAUGGAAAAAAUCCUAUGGUGUGAAUCAAAGGGCAUCACUUUUUCUAUUCCUAUUUAUAGGAUUUGAGAUGCAUGUCAUCUCAUUUCCUAUGACUUUCCUAUUCCUAUGAUUUUCCAAUCCUAUGAACCAAAGGAGGCCUUAAACUACACACAUAAAUGUCUUGGCACUCGUAUGUAUGUGGUAUGGAUAACACAUUUGCUGCUCCUAACAAAUGCUACUCAUACCAUGUAAUGCUUAUUUGGCACGAAUGCUAUAUGGUACAGACCUACUGGAAUGCACAUUUGCUGUCUAAAGUUUCUUGGAGGUCUGUACAUUAUACCACUCAUUUCAAAUUGAUGCUACUACACUGAUGCCACAGUAUGCGGCACUUAUCUCUGAUUAAGUGAUAGAUUAUUAACUGGUUGUCAUGGCUCAUGUCUGGAAGUUUGUGUUGGAGAGUACUUCUGGCAUAUUUUCACCUGACCUCGACGGUAGACUGAAACACUGCUGCCUCACUUUCUAAAUUUGGUAUAGGCGAGAAGCUGCAUAUAUAGACUACUUUGUGUUAGUUUUCUCUAACAACAUAUAAUUUGAGGCUUCCCUUAUUCACCGUGUCGUGAGCCCACCUUCCUUGGAUGGUUUCCCAACUGUUCACUGAUUUAAUCUAUUUUUUUGCAGAGUGAGAAAUGUGAUAAACCCACUGGCAACCACCUGGGCCUCAAGUUCUGGGAAGAGUCUGGUCCCAUCGAGAAUGUCCUCUCGCGCAUCAACGUGACGAGUAUCCGUGAGUUCAGAGGGGACCCAGGUGAGGUUGGCUUCCUGGAGUUCAUCUUCCGGAACGCGCUGGCACUGAAGACCGUGUCUGUUUCCAUGGCCAAUCCAAGCUUCACACCGUUCUCGACGGAGGAGGCAUACGCCAAGGUGAAAUAUUGCUACAGGAACAAGGCGAGCAAGUCCUGCCAGAUGGCUGUCAUUGGGAGCACCGGCCCUUCAGGAGGUGAAGUUUGGAGGUUCAAAGACGGGGCAGAUUUUUCUUUCCAUGACCCCUUCUCCCAAGUGGAGGUCAGGUGAGCUUAGUUUCUGUGGAGAAGUGGACUGGCUGUUUUCUGAUGCAAACUAUGAAGUAAGUAUGGUGUCUGUCUCUUGCUAGCCGUGCCCAGUGCCCUUGUGAUGGUCCGUCGAAUUUUGACGCUUGAUGAGCUGAUAUUUUGCUUGCCCUAUAUGUAACCUGUGUUAACGGUUUCCCGGUCUAUCUAUGUAUGUUCCAUGAACCAUUUCAUUUGUGGCGGCGACAUGUUCAAUUGCUUGCAGUUGCUGGGUUUCCCUGUCAGAUAACUGAACUCUGAACCAAAGUGUCGCUUAAAUUCAGUUAACUGUAGCGUAACGGUUUGGCUACAGUUAACUGACAUCUGACGGCCGAGACGACGCGGAUGCUGAUCAACGGCUGGGAAGAAGACACUGCGUGUUUAAUUGCUAAUAGUUACUUUUUCCGCCGUGAUUCACUGUUUACCUUCAUCCGCCUGCGUGCACGUGAGUGGCAACAACCAUUGUAUCAAAAGCUAAACCCUAGCUCUUAUCUGUAGACUCUACUGUAGCCAAUUCCGCAAUUGAUAGAAGGGUCUCUAUAUCGGGAGCUUAUCGUUAUCGUUGUCCUGUGUGAUCUGUGAUUUGGUUGUUUGAUCCGUAGCGGGAUCUGACAUUCACCCUCUUAGAUCAGCAGAAAGCCGCCAUUCUAGGUUUCUGGUGUAGUUUGUUUGAGAGCCAUUUCUGGUUGUAAAAAGUCGUAUCAGUUCUCAAAAAAGAGGUUUAAAUUGACAACAUAAGAUUUGUUUUUCUUUUCUUAUGACGUGUGGACAGCUGUGGUCAUCAAUCUUUCUUAUCUAUUCCCCCCUCUGUUCCAAAAUAAUUAGAAACUUCUCUGAAUUUAAAAGUUAACUUUACUGCUUUUUAUUUAUAUAUUUUUCUACCAGCCAUUUCAGAAUGUGAAGUGCAUUUGAGUGAAUAGUUGUGAAGUUGAGCUUGAGGAUGAUUGCUUCACUCCCCCCUAGAGUGAAUAUCAUGAAUAAUCUCAGAGGGUUAGGAUCCCAUCCAAAAUUAAGGCGGUUUGUGCAUUACUAAUCACACGAUGGGCCACCAGGAAAAGCUGAGUGGCAAAUCAUUUUACGUGGAACUUAGAUAAAUUAUUAAUUAAGGGAAUAGAUCUAAAUAAACAAAUAUUAUCAGCUCCCUUAACUUUAGAAAUAAGGGAUUAAUUCAGACAUUUGAUGUCGACCGUGCUAAUACAAAAACCUAAAAUAACUUUGUAGACAAGGGGGUUUAAGGAUGUUCCAAUUUUUUUUGAAGAACGUAACCAAAAACCAGUCCAGGCCAGGAGCCGAAUUAGAUUUUGAUGAGGAAACAGCCUUGUCAAUUUCUUUCUCGGAAGGAGUCGAAUCUCUUCUUUGUCAAAAAAUGGCAAUAAAUUGCCUAGUCUACAACACUUCCCCCUGGUAAUUUUUAUACCGUGAGAAAGAAGCUUGAAGAUCACCAGACUUUGCAAACACCGUGCCUAUUCCUAUGCCUGAUCUAAGUCGAAGUAAGUUCUAGUAACAGCAAAACCUGGGCUAGCUAGAAUCAAAGAGGAAAACCCUGGCCUGGUGGUCUCCUGCUUGAAGUCCUAUCUAAGCUGCCGUAGGAGUUCUGUGACUGCUGCGGUCGUGAAUUAGGUCUUGCAGGAAGCGCCCCGCCUCCAGAAUAGGAACUACGAGGUUGUUGCUGCUGCUGCCACUGUUGGGUUGCUGUAUACGGCGCAGGCUGGUAGCCGCCAGCAUGCGACGGGGGUUGCCCGUAUCGUCCAAAACCCGAUGACGGAGGAGCAGGAUAUGAUGAAUAUGCGUUGCUACUAUUAUUCUGAUGGUAUCGAGAUGGAUGCCGGCCCGCUCCUCUUGAAUCGGCGUGGCUGUCUCUUGCAUAUGGAUGGUGCCUUCCGCGAUUAUCUCUUGUGUACUGAUGACCUGAUCCUGAUGGCAGCGCAUAGGCUGGUACAUGACCAUAGGGUAGAUUAUCACUAGGAACAUGCCAACCAGGGUGUCCAGCAGGCUGCUCCAUCCAUGGUGGCAUUCCAUUUGGAUAAUGCAUACCACUCAUUAUAGUUUGAUAUGGCCUAGCCGGAGGGUAGUGCCCGCCGCCGCGAACAUUCAAGCUGUUUGCAACUAGUCGGUGUGCGGCCUCCCCUAGUUGGCGGCCCUGCUGUAUCGAUCCUGCAGGGUUUUGCCUGAACCAUUUCAAAAGUUGGUUACGAUUUGCAAUGUGGAAGCAAUGAUUGACUAAAUAGGGCCCAAAACGCAUACACUACCUGCUGCUGUUAUCAUCAUGAGGCCUCCUGCCAUUGUCUUCAUGCCACAGCACAGGCGGUGGCUUCAGAUCACCGGCUUCAACAAUCUUCAGAGCAGAUUAAACAAUACGCUUGUUAACCGUGGACACUUCUGGAGUGGAAUGAUAUACUCAUGUCGAUGUUACACGAAAAUAAACAACAGUUCUGUACCUUCUUGGGCAUGAUAACACCAGCAGGUGGACGCGCUAUGUGCUUAUGAGGAUCUGGAAGCUUGUAGAUUGAGCAUCUAGAGAAGGCAAAUGUCAUAAUCUUGAAAUCAAGUGCCACUAGAUCAUAUCAAUAAUACAAGGGGAUAAUGAGCUUACAUCACUUGAUUGUCCAUAAUAUCCUCCAGUCCAUCCACAGGAGAUCUGAAGACAGGUGAACAUGGAUCCCCGCCACAAAGUGAGAUGUAACCACUCAUUCCUCCACUGCAUAAAUAACCAAGAGCAGCUAAUUAAGUGAUAUUGUAGUUAUAGCAGCUCAUAUAAGAGGCACUUAUUGAUUACUCCCUCCGUCCGGAAAUACAAAGUAAUAUACUAUAAUAUGGUGGAACUACUACAGUUUAACGAGAAAAUACUAUCUGCAGUCAAUCAAGAAUCCUGGUAGGGUUAGCUAACCUGGCAGAAGGCUUCAGUGGCUCUUUAAUUUCAUUUCGCUCAUUAUCGGGCAGAUGUCCGAAUUUGCUGCUGAGAGAGUAGAUAUAAGGCGCAACUGGGUGCAAGCUAUUCACAAAAAGCAUAUUGUACAUUGUACUGUUUCGUCUUGCUUCUUCAGGCUACACAAAAUAUGAGGAAAAUAUGGAAAUCUUAGAAGUUAAAACAAGAUCCUCUACUACAUGUAUGCCAUAAAAACAAAACACACGAGACACUGUUCCAUACCGUCAAAGUAUGCUCGACUUUUUCAAUCUCAGACAGCAACCUAGCUUCAUCAAUGAAGGGCAGUUUGGCUAUCCCCUGUAAAGUACAAAUUUUAGUUAAAUUAAACAUGGAAGAAGUAUGAUAUACAUAAUUAUGCUUACUAAGAUAAAUGUACCUGCCAAGAAAAUCUCUUUCCAUUCAUAUCUACUUCAAAAUCUGCAGCAUAUGUACAAAGGUUCACCCGGAUUAGAAUUGGAUUAAGGUUGUAGCUAGGAGAAUCAGAUACUAUUUGUGAUUAUAUCUUUGAAAAAUAAGCAUACCAAUCGGAUAAAAAUCAAUUAUCGGCGAACUUGGAUCAGUCAUCAACUGCCGAUACCGUAGAGGGAGUGCAUGUGAGCUGAAAUGCAAUGAAACAAACUAUCAAAUAAUCCACCACAUGAAGGUACUAAGAUCGAAGAAAAAUAUUAGCAUAUUCACCUUGCCGCUGGGAAUACUCCCAGAAGCUGAUCGAAAGGUUUGAAUGGUGACCCAAGUUCAAAAGUUAUAUUAAGCCGGCCUAAACCUUUUAAAUCGGAAGCAAAAGGGGCAUAGUGAUGAGGGUAAAACCUACACAUAAUGAGAAUAAAUUAGAACGAAACAGGUAUUGGUGGGAUGGGUAGAGGAAUUAAUUAAAAAUAGCAGCAAUCGUGCUACAAAUAAAACUGUGUAGCAUAUAAUUGGCCAUUUAAAACAGGCUAAAAUUAAAUUACCAUUGCCAUGAGCAGACACCUUCAUAAUAGUAGUGUAUUACCCAACACAGACCUUCAGUAUAUUUGAGAACCUGAAGGAGCAUAGAGCAGAUCAUAUAAGAAGAAAAUAGAGAAUUAGGGAAAAAAUAUUUUUAAAAUAAUGAUCAAGUCAAAAUUUCUAUCAUGAAUUCAGUAAUAAUGGCAACAGGGUAUGGUGUCGAUAAUGAAUCAUGAAUGCAGUUUGCUUUUAUUUAUGAAUGCAGUAUAUUAAAGACACUUCCACGAUACUUACAACAUCUCUACGUAUUUCUUCAAUUUGCUCAGGUGUUCUUGCACCAAACUUGUCUUCAUAAUACCUUUCCCUCCAUCCUGGUUCUCCAAGCUUUAUCUGAAUAUUAACAAAUAAUGUUAUCACUUGAGUAAAAUAUAAAAAAUAGAGAUUCAGAAGGUCCAAAAAAUAGAAGUGUACUUUCAAUUCCCAAAGCCCCAAAUAUCUUCGAUAAUUUAGUUUUGUGUGCAACAUAUUAGAAGUUCCGAAGACAAAGGAUGGGGCACUAGCUCCCACAGCAGGGAAUAGUCUCUGAGAACUUAUAUUAGGACAAACUUGAAUUUACAACUGCAACCAACUGAUACAGUAGCAGAAGAAGACUUGUGCACAGAUGACCAAAGAUACAAGAUAUACCUUGUCCUCCUCUGGAUUUUCAGAAUUAAAAAGAUCUGAUUUAUCACGAAGUGCGACUUUAAGCAUUGACUUCAGUUCUUCUUUGUUUUCACGUGCCUAUAAGAGAUUCAGCAAGAUUCAGAUGAAACCAUAAAAAUAUCUUCAAAACAAAUAUAAUACCUUCUCAAACAAGAUCAAAUUAAGUACCUGUUCUUCGACACUAAUUUCAGCUUCAACAAGAGCAGCAGAAAGGCUGGAAUCUGAAGAUGAUACACGUGCUUUCUUAGCUCGACUGCCCUUUUCCGUGCUAUCUUUAUGAGCUCCAUUAUGUUCAUAUGGUGAAGCCACAGCCCCAGAGGCAAGGCGAGACCCUUGGAAACGCGCAACAGGUACAAUAAGAUCGCCACUGACAUGGGGAUCCAGAUCAUCGCCUCGCUUUGCUUGGGCUUUAUCACGUUUUAUUCUUUCAGCUUGACGCUACAAAGGACAACAUCGUUGUAUGUAAACUGUUAACAGCUGAGCAUCAAAUGUAUAUAAGUAAGAAAUGUUACAUAGGCAUAUUGCUCUUCACAAUAUACACGCCAGGUAUAGCUGAAGUUAAGCAAGAUUGACAAGCAAAAUCAAGAUAGUCAUCAUUUUUAUACCUGGUGCAAACGUGCUCUUUUCUGAAAUAUUUUAUCCUCGUAUGAACCAACUGCUUGAAUGAAGUGUUCAACUCUAUUCAGAUCCGGCUACAACAAUCGAGAUAAAAUGUGUUAUUAACUUAUUGCUGAUGUACCCAUGAGGAUCAUUUCAAAUAAAAUAAAUUUCAGACGAAGAAACCACAUGGGUCAGAUGAUGUACAAUACCGUGCAAGUGUCGGUUAAAUAGCCACCCAUAUUAGGAAAUUCCUUCUUGUAUACAGCAAUUAGCAAAUUAAUAGCUCCCUGCAGACAGAUAACCAUUGUGUCAGUGUGACAACAAUCUAAGAAAGUGAACUACAAACAGAGGAACGUUUCAAACUUUGAAAGAAAAAAAAGUAACACUACAAAAACUAACCUCACGAAUCUCUAGUGUCGGCAUGUGUGGAAGAAAAUCAUUGCCAACAAAAAAGCACAUGAAGAUGAAAUCAUCAAUGAUGCGUUCAAGAUCAAUCUUGAAAGGUGGAUUUGGCAUUCUGAACUCGUAUUCUAGGUACUCUCGUAGGGUCCAUAUAUUCAAGAACUGUGAAAGCACGAAAGUGGAGCAGUACAAAUGAGAAUAAGUCUGUUGGUAAUUCCACUGAAUAGCGCCACACCACAAGCUGCAACUAAAGAAAUUGAUCAUUAUUACCUGGUAAGGUUUCUUUGGUACUAUUUCAUCACCCUUCUCAUCAAACUCCCCAGCUUUCCGUUUUGCCUUUCCUUCACACUUUGCUGCUAGAUGUCCAACUUGACCACACAGGAAGCAUUUGUCCUGCUGUCCAGGUGUAAACACCACCUGCAAACACAAAGUGUAUGCAAAUAAGGUUUCAUGGCAUAAUGUCAAACAAAAUGUUCAAGGAAAAGGAGUAUCAACAUUAAAGCAGAGUAGAAACAGAGACAACAGUAUAAAAUUUAAAAGAUGUAUCAUUUUGAUUAACACAAGGCUGUGACGUGUAUGUAUAUGGUCAAAAGGUGUAAAUUCUGUAUUUUGAGAAGAGAACCUCUCUCAGUAUGGAGAAGUGUACUUCAUGUGUUGCUAGAGCUAACAUGAUUAGAUCUGCAUCCUGCAUUCAUGAGAUUAAUUUUAUGCAUUAGCGAAACUAACAGAUAAAAUAGUCCAACAAGAAAUAGAACAUUAAGCAUACAGAAACAGAACUUACCAGGCCAUACAGGCAAUGUCGGGUAUUUGCAUUGAGUUCAUUACAGAGGUUCCUAUUGCCACGAAUGUAGGACAUGAUUUUGUGUUCCCCUUCACCAGGAACAUUGGCAUCAGAAAGAAUAACCUUCAAAAGAUUGUAAAUCAGGACACAUAUUAUUUCUACAUACUUCCUAAUAACAAUCCAUAGAGUUUGUGAACCCCAAGAAAAUAUGACUAAGCAUAUUAACAAAUGUAUUUAAAAGCCAGAUUAGUAAAAAAAAAUCAUGCUUACUUUAAUUUUUUUCCAUCCAAGAUCAUAAUUCAACCUGAGGUGGAUGUAGUACUGCAAAGCAACUGAUAGAACAGCCAUGAACUCUGUCCCGGGGGUAAUAACAUUAGAAUCACAGGUUUGUGAUUGCUGUUUUGGAGGAAGCUUUCUUCCUUCCCUCUCAAACUCUUGACGCAGUUUUUCUUCUUCUUCGGCCUGGAUGGACAUAGGACGCAAGUGGCCAGUGAGUGCAAAUCAUAAAUGGUUGCAACUGUCCACAAAUAACAAUAGAUACGGCUGUACAAUUAUACACUGAAUAUGAGAAGAUGAUUCCAUUAGAAUACUGACCGCAUCAGCAGCAUCUUUUGCAGCUCUGAAUCGUCUAGAGCGCUGCUGGUUCAUCUUAGCACGAGGAGCCACACCAUCUGUAAACCAUUGUAGUAUAAUACAAAAUGGAGAAACAAAUUGUUUAAUGUAGGUACAUAGAUACAAUAGUAACUAGUAAGUUAUUCAAAGGAAAGCUUAACAAGUGAAGAAAUAUGUCGCCAUUGUUCAGAGAAGAGGAUGCCUAUUCAUUCUAAAGGAAGAGUAGUAUGACUAUGAUGUGAGCGUAUACACAUAUAUAGUUGCAUUAUGGCAAGAUGCUGUGCACGAUAAUACCUAGCGAGUAACAUAGUUUAAUUAUACUGAGCACUCCUAAUUAUUUCUACCAUUGAUCAGUAUAAAUAACCAUACGAACGAAAUCAGUUCAAGCGACAUUAGAGCAUGCAGCUAGCCAAACAGAAAAAAUGAGCGAGAGAAUUCCCUCCAUAGCCAGACAAAGAGAUGAAACACGUACAAAUGGCCAUGUAGAGAAGCUUUCGAGGGCGAACCAUGACAAAGAGCCUGUCUAUGUAAUCGAACAUGCACUGGAAGACCUCAGCAAAUGUCGUCGGCGAGGGCUGUGGCAGAAAAUGCAAUAGAAGUGAGAAGCACGGUCAACGCAGUGGUUGAAUAUCGGGUGUGGCUAGCUCUCAUCUAGAUGUGGGUACUAACUAAGAUCCACAAUUAAUCCGCAGGACUGUUGGUAAAUAACUGGGGAAAUAAAAUGUUUCCGGUAGGACUGUUGUUGAUACUACAUGCAGUAGCAGUGUGCAAUCCACUGCAGGGUGUCCUAAGUCCUAACUAAAAUAGAAUUGAAUCUUGUGCAGAUUCACUUGUCCAGAUCGAAAUUAGUUUUGCAGUGUGAAUAGUUUGAUGAAAAACAGAAGAAUCGGAUUGAAUCCUGGAACUGCAUAUCAAAUUCAGUUUUGCUAAAGCACAUCUAGAUGUGCCAUAAGUAUUCACAUCUAAGUCCUGUAUCAUUGAUCUUAUGCGGAGAUUCUAUCAAUUUUGUAUACUUGAACUAUAGUAACAUGCUCCUGCAACCUCGAGAUGAUUUGGGGACGGACAGUAUUGAAGCUCUCCCUCCCUUUGAAUUGCAAAAAACAAGUAUGAUUCUACAAGUAAUUAAGUAAGACCCAACUGCGGAUCGAACAGCUAGCUAGCCAAAUCAAGCACGUACCCUGUCCUCGGGGUGGAAGCAGGGGUGUAUGAUCCCGUUCAUGUCGAGGUAGAGGUUGUCGAACUCGAGGCCGUUGGGGUUGGGCUUGGAGGUGUCGAUGGGCACCUUCACGCCGUCGAUCUCGACGGCCUCCUCCUCCACCACGUCCACCACCACCAUCGGGUACUUCUCCGCCAGCCACCGGUAGAACGCCGGGACGCCCAUCCUGUCUCCCUCCGCCGCCGGCGAGAGGCGGAUCGAGCGAGCUCUUUCGCGGUCUGGUCUGGACCUCGUGACUCGUGACUUCCUGAGGCGGUGGGGGCGGGCCGGGCCAAAUAGAGAGGGAGUCCGUCGCAAGCCACGAACCGGUUUUGUUUGCCUCGAUACUAACACCUUUCGGUGUUUUUUGGGGCGGUUCAAGCACCUUGCCAUAGAACCGGGGUUUUUCUCGGGUUCUUUUUGCCAGCUUUCUUUAUUUUUUAUAUGGGGGUUCCUUUUGUUUUCUUCAUUUUUUUUAUUUUUCCCUUCUACUUUUCCUUUUUUUUCAUUUUAUAUAUCCAUGAACAGUUUUUGAAAUUUGUGAAAAAAUGGUAUAUUUUGCGGAGUUUUUUCUAAUUCCAAAAAUUUUAUAUAUUGCGGAAAAAAAUGACGGAUCACCUCCAUAGCCGAAAAGACAAACCGGAAGGUGCGCAGUGACACGUGGAUUCCUAUAGCCGAAAAGACACAGCUUCUUUGGUGUAGACUUUAUUUUGUGCUCCCUCCGUUUCAUAAUGCAAUGCAUAUAGGUUUUUUGAAAAAUUAAAACUUACAAACUUUGACAAACUUUGUGAAGAAAAAUAUUUACAUCUGAAAUGUCAAACAUAUAUCAUUAGAUUCAUCAUCAUAUGUAUCCCUCCGUGUCCUGAUUCACUAUAGUCUCCUCGUAUUCUGGGUCAUAUUUUGACCAAGAAAAAUGUAAGUUGUACGUAGCAAAAAUAGCAUCAUUAGAAACUACAUUCAUAUAAGAAUCCAACAAAUACAAGUCAUCCGGGUCUUACUGCCGCCUAGGCACCUCUCGGCUCAAGGACCGACUACUCUCCGAUGUCAGCGUCUGCUUUAGUUGAAUGCUCUCUUAUCAAUUGAUGUACUGGUAAGGUAUGUAUUUGAUUGAUAAAUACACAAGAAUAAUCUUAUGUAUUAAUUAAUUCACACUUAUUUCCCAUGAAAAAUAGAAUAAGUUCGCAUUUUAGGUGAAGGAGAGCUCUGCAAAUUAAUGAGCGACAUGACUCCUCCCUGGCAUUGUAUCUCUACUCCUGAAAGGGGGACAACAGUGAUAGUAGUGCGCGGGGGCCAACGCAAAAUCAGGCUCCAGAGCGUCGGGGCAUCACUGGAGGAACUAUGGAUCACGGAAUUCAGGGAAUGAUCUAACAGACAAUGGUUAUGGAUCUUCUCCAUUGGAGGAAUUCAUGAUCAAUAAGACCCUAUAUCUAUUGAGCUCGUAGAUAUUGUGGGAUGUGAUCGAGUUCACGUUUCCUGGUUUCUUCUUCGGAUUGCUACGUCUCUUGUACUAGACUUUUCUGGGUUUGAUAAGGAAACACUCGGUCAUUAGUUGUUGCAUUUGUUGGUACAAAGAAGCGAACAGAAUAAUUUUUGGCUACAUGAUAUCAUUGUGUUCUGUGUAAAGUGAGCAACUCUAUUCAGAAAUUGUGUGCUAUGUAAACUGAGCAACUAUAUUCAGAAUGAUUCAAGAUUAUUGUAGCAUGGAGGCUUGUUCCAUGUGGUAUCUGUCUUUUUAUGAUUCUUUCAUUUGUUAUGACUUAUGACUAUCCUUUCUUUUAAUUCUUGUUAUUUCAUAUUUGUUUGCAGGAAUCCACAUGGUGUAUCUUGCCCAAUACUUCCCAAAUGUGACUAUUCUGAUCAAGCACCUUUGGUGAGUUUCUCUUUAGAUUUUAGAAGGUAUAUAUUGAUGCAAAGUUAGUAAAAGAUCAUUCUGUCUGUAGCAAGAAUUGAUAGACGCUGUACUUUUUUAGAUGCUCCGUAUAAACCGUGUAAGAUAGCAGCGGGGAGUUUACAUCAAUAUAUUGGUACAAUUAUUAUGGCGGGUGUUCUAUGUCCCUUCGCUUAGGUGCUAGGCCUUAGAAUUUCAGAGAGAUUCAAGGAAGAUAAUGGACAAGUACAUUGGUAUGAAUAGGUCAUCGACUUUGACAGAAAAUGCAUACAGAUUAUCAGUUUUCCUGCUGAGUUGUACUAUUAUGCUAUAGAAUACGCAUAAUUAGUUACAUAUCAGUGGGCUACUCACCUGGUUAGUUUUCUCAAGCCAUUUUCUCUGUGUGUGUAUAUGUUAUUUUCCUUUUUACACUAACAAGAGUUUCAUACUAUUUGUACAUUGGUAUGAAUAGGUCGUCGACUUUGACAUAAAAUGCAUACAGAUUAUUAGUUUUCCUGCUGAGUUGUACUAUUAUGCUACAGAAUACGCAUAAUUAGUUACAGAUCAGUGGGCUACUCAUCUGGUUAGUUUUCUCAAGCCAUUCUUUUCUGUGUGUGUAUAUGUAUAUGUUAUUUUCCUUUUUACACUAACAAGAGUUUCCUGCUUCAGGUAUNNNNNNNNNNNNNNNNNNNNNNNNNNNNNNNNNNNNNNNNNNNNNNNNNNNNNNNNNNNNNNNNNNNNNNNNNNNNNNNNNNNNNNNNNNNNNNNNNNNNNNNNNNNNNNNNNNNNNNNNNNNNNNNNNNNNNNNNNNNNNNNNNNNNNNNNNNNNNNNNNNNNNNNNNNNNNNNNNNNNNNNNNNNNNNNNNNNNNNNNNNNNNNNNNNNNNNNNNNNCCAAUGUAUAUUCGCUUUUGCCAAUUUAAAUCUCUACUCCUAAUGGACGAAUUGGUUGAAUAGUCCCCCCACUUUCAACCGGUUUAUUUUCAACCGGUUUUUCUUCGUCCCACCUCCCACCACCCCCCUCCCACCGGUUUUUCUCUUUCUCGUCUGGCCGACAAUACCCAACGUAUUUAUGGUAAUCAAUCACAAUUAAUCCACGUAUGAUAAGGCUAUAAACUUAGAAAUCUCAAAUAUGAUAAUUAUAAUAAUAAAUCAAUCCAUGUAUGGUAAGGCUAUAACUAAGGAAAUUUCGAAUAUGGUAAUUAUCACCAGAAUCAAAGCUUUCCAAAAAAGUUCUUCUUGCCAUACCCUAAUCGUGACCUCCUCAUCCUGAGGCAUUAUCUCUACUCUUAAUGGAGCAGUUGCUAGGAUUGCGUCCACUGUUAUUAUUCGUCUGGUUUAUUUUCGUUCGGUUUAUUUUCGUCUUUCCUUCCACCAUCCCAUGUACCGAAAGCCAAACGGAUCAGAACUUUCCAUGUGGACACAAAUUAUUUAGUAAUGUCUUCAUGGGAGAGAAUCAAUCACGGUUAAUCUCUAAUCAAUAUUUAAAAAUCAAAUCUAAAUUAAUUAACUUACCAUAAGUCGGUCAAUCACUGAUUAAUCUUUCCAUACGUAGUCAAAUUACAUCAAAGGAAAUGUUUCCAUUAUAGCAGUACCCUGCUACAAACCGAGCGAGUCGGGCUUUCACCCCGCACCGCACGACUCUUCUCUCCCCCUCGCCGCCUCCCGCCUCGGGCCGCUCGCCAUUCGUCUUCCCGAGGGACGCAGCCGCACCACCGCGCUCAGCUGCUCCCUCACCUCCCCCGCCAUCCUCACCCGUAGGACGCCGCCGCACCUCUCCUCUGCAUCACCCUGUUGGCGGGAUCCAGGUCACGGGGCUGAUGACCUCAUCAUCUCUGACGGCGGAUCUGGUCAUCGGCGAGGAGGCCGAGCCUCAUGCUUCGGCCACAGCCACCCCGACCUCGUUGUAUGUUCGCCUCCUCAUCCACCCCCUUCCCUGUCCAAUUUUGCUUUAUUUUGGUUCGUCUUUCAUCCCGUCCAAACCAGACUUUUUACCUUACGAUGCCCGCCUCCUAUGUUUCUGCAUUAACUAACACGGCGUCGCGUGAUCGUGGAGCAGCAGGGUUGAGAGGAUGGGUCUCAGUGACGGGCGGAUGGCGUUCGUCGUGUGAGCGAAAAUAGUAUGUAACUCAUGGAGUGCAAGCUAUUGUGCGGCUACAUGGCGACGCUCGACUGUAGCGUUGAGACAUAGGGCACGUGUGCCAUGAUGUCGUGCUUCACCAUCGCCUCCCCUAGCUUUCUCUCAAGGCAUCUGGUCUCGAUGGGUUGGGGCUCGCCUCCCGCACUCCUCUUUGUCGUGUACAAAAACCAAGGUGACCCCUAGGUACUCUCAACGCUUGGUCUAGAAAUCCCUCGAAUUUGUUGCCCAAGCCGAGUGUUGUGAUCUGACGGUCGGUCAUCGUGCAGGUGUUGAAUUAUUGAGGGAGGCUUUAGAUCGUCCUGGGCAUGGAGACGAGGCUGGCCAUUAAGGAUGUGGGUGAAGGUCACGUCGUUUCUUCUCCUGGCUCCAAUAUCCACUGCUGAUAUUUUGAGUUCUUUGAUCUGAGAAAGAACCAUGGGAACGUAAGGUUUUUAACCCAACAUGAUUUAAUUACCCUUUUCACUUUUGUAUUUUAUAAGUACAUAAGCAUUCAGUUCUUCUAUCCUUUGUACGAGGAUGCAAUUCACUCCAAACAUGUAAACAGUGUCACAUCUUACAGAAGCUUCUAAUUUUUUACAAUGAGUAUGGUACAUAAACCAAUGUGCUUGGGUUGUGCUUUGUGUUUCUGUCAUGCCUUGUCUUUAGAAGGCACCGUGAUGAAUGCUAAUUUAAUAGAGGAGAAUCAAGCAAGCGAUGUGCAAUGAUUUUAAUGAAUUUUAAUGACCAUAUUCUACACUUAAUGAUGAUUGAUAGUCGAUUUAUGGUUUCUCCCACUUUAGUAAGAAAGAUGUGGUGUACAGAAUCUUGCAAAAAUGGAGGAUAUGGAUUUGGGGCGCGAACUGUCCCGACCACGGCGGUGCUGCCUACCAACACUAUGUGCAAGACUGCCUGACUUGUCCUCUAUCUUAAUGGUAAGUUUCUCUCUUUUUCUAUCUCGUGGUCUCCUUGAUUUGUCUUUCGAGAAAGGAUUGAAAGUAGUUUGGGUGGUUCAAUUAAUUCAAUGCCCAACAAUAUCAUCAGUUGUCAGCAAGAAGUUACUCCAAAUUCCAUCGCCUAACAAUAUCAUCAGUUGUAAGAAGUUAGGAGUUUGGUACGUACCCCGGUGCAAGAGACCAUGGAUGCAAAAGGUACUUCUGCUAGAGUAAGAUUAGAUAGUCAAAUUGUAGACAAACAGCAGUGUGCAUUGGCAUUGCAACUUCUGACAUGGGAUAUUUGUGUAGUCAGAUAAUUAGGAACCUGGACUACAAGGGCAAAUGGGAGGCACCUUUCAUCGACAUUCAGCCCAGGGAACCUCAACUUUCCCACUGUUGUACAUUACCGAAAAAGGGUUUCCCCCCGCUUUGUAUACAAAGCAACCAACCGAACCAUCCAACGAUAGGUGCUGGGGCGGAAACAGCACAGUCACGCCCAAAAGAAAAGAAAGAGAAAAUACAAGAGAAACAAACGCCGACAACGGCGGAUCGACAAAGAAAUGAAGAAGCCUCGUGGCCGCUGCACCCACCGGAGAUCUCCCACCAGACUCCGAGCCUCCGAAGCACCGGUACCAAUCAACACCUCCAAGAAGGAACGCGACGAAGACGAGCUGCUGCCAAGGGUUUCCCCCGGUACGGUGAGGGGAGAGGAAGGGUAGCUCCGACGCCCUCUAGGAAGGUCUGGCGGCACCCACAAGCGCCACCGCGUCGAUGUCGGCCAGGCCAACAGAGAUUUCUCCCGAUCCCAGCCUCCACCUCAGGCACUUCGAAGCUCGCCGCCAAACAAACCCUCACCCUGCGCCAGCCCGGACACGAAGCGUUCAACGCUGUCUCACCACGGCACCGUGAAGCAUGGUCGGCACGAUGAAGAAGAGGAGCCGGGACCAGGCAACAGCACCAUCGGCACGCGGGAGGGCCCCACCUCCACCGCCGAAGACGGUAGCUGACCGGACGCAAUGGCAGGAACACACCAGGCCCGUGGCCGCACAGGCCCGGCUGGGAACGCAGAGGCCCGUAAAGUUCCCGCCUUCGCGCUGCAGCCGGCACGCCGUCGGCUCCGCCGCCCCUGUCCAAGCCGCUCCCCUUCCUCCCCACACCGAAAGCCGCCAAGGGAGGCACCACCAACACGCGCACCGCCGGCCACCAUCACCAGGUCGCCGGACCGCCACCGGCCGAGCCGCACCACCGCCGCACGCCCACGACGGAGAGGAACCACCGCAGCCGCCGGCAGCCCGAAGCCGGACCCCAGCCGCCGCCCACGCCGCCCGCGGCCCUCGCCGCCUGCCGGGCGGAACCGGCCGCCGCGGCGAGGCGCGUUCCACCGCGCAGCCGGCCACGCCGNNNNNNNNNNNNNNNNNNNNNNNNNNNNNNNNNNNNNNNNNNNNNNNNNNNNNNNNNNNNNNNNNNNNNNNNNNNNNNNNNNNNNNNNNNNNNNNNNNNNNNNNNNNNNNNNNNNNNNNNNNNNNNNNNNNNNNNNNNNNNNNNNNNNNNNNNNNNNNNNNNNNNNNNNNNNNNNNNNNNNNNNNNNNNNNNNNNNNNNNNNNNNNNNNNNNNNNNNNNNNNNNNNNNNNNNNNNNNNNNNNNNNNNNNNNNNNNNNNNNNNNNNNNNNNNNNNNNNNNNNNNNNNNNNNNNNNNNNNNNNNNNNNNNNNNNNNNNNNNNNNNNNNNNNNNNNNNNNNNNNNNNNNNNNNNNNNNNNNNNNNNNNNNNNNNNNNNNNNNNNNNNNNNNNNNNNNNNNNNNNNNNNNNNNNNNNNNNNNNNNNNNNNNNNNNNNNNNNNNNNNNNNNNNNNNNNNNNNNNNNNNNNNNNNNNNNNNNNNNNNNNNNNNNNNNNNNNNNNNNNNNNNNNNNNNNNNNNNNNNNNNNNNNNNNNNNNNNNNNNNNNNNNNNNNNNNNNNNNNNNNNNNNNNNNNNNNNNNNNNNNNNNNNNNNNNNNNNNNNNNNNNNNNNNNNNNNNNNNNNNNNNNNNNNNNNNNNNNNNNNNNNNNNNNNNNNNNNNNNNNNNNNNNNNNNNNNNNNNNNNNNNNNNNNNNNNNNNNNNNNNNNNNNNNNNNNNNNNNNNNNNNNNNNNNNNNNNNNNNNNNNNNNNNNNNAAUUCCUGACCAAUCAUUGUUUUUGUAAGGAUCCUUCUCGACUUUUGUUAGUUGUUCAUCUAUUGUUCAUCUAUGAAUGAAUUUAACCAUGUGGUCUAACUGAUUGGUCAUAUGAACUUAUGAAGUAGUUGUCGUGUGUACUAAUUGCGACAAAUGGAAUCCUUUGCUUUUUGCAUUGUUCACUAAUAUCAUUAAUAGAUAUGCAUGUGUUACCGAUAUUUCUUAAUUUGGCUGACUGAGCAUUACUAGGCUAUAAUUCUUUGUGACUUUUGAUUUUGUUUGUUGUUCUGAUCCUAUGUCGAAUCAAUCCCGAUCCAUGGGGAAGAAGAUACAAGGGGACCGACCACUGAGUCGAUGAUGCCGACGAUCGAGGACGGCAAACAUAAUCAUUUUGGUGUCAUAGGUUCAUUGGAGCUGAUGCCGCCACCUCCUCGCCCCUUGGUCUCGGAGGUUGUGAUGGCCAGGUCAGCGACAUGGCCACGUAGUAUGCCUCAUUUUCUCCUAUUGUGUUGUUUCUUUUUUAUCAUGUGAUUUCUAUUUUGUUUCUGUUAGCAAUAAUUACAGCUCCAUGAAGCAAAAGAAAGCUUGAGAAAUCAUUUUUGUUUAUACUCAAAGGCUUGGCUACCUAGGGGUGUUAUUGACUCCCUACCAAAAAUUGUGUUUAUACUCAAAGGCUUAUGCAUGCUUUCUAAAAAAUAUGUUGCACAAUCACUGUAAUUAUGGUGUUAUGUGAGUUAGAAGAUUUCAGAAGUGCAUCAAUUGAGAAUUACACAUAUUUAUACAUCGGACAGGGAAGCAUGUAUUUGAUAUUUCCUGCUGAAAUUCAGCGUUUUUUAUCGGAGGUCUAAAUUUUCAUAUGCCAGACUUUUAAGUUAGAUGGUGUGUUAUAAUGAUUUUUUAUUGGAUGUUGUGCUGUAUAUUUGGGUCUAUGUAAUAUUUGUUAGGAAAUUCCAUAAUGUACUAAGGUUCUGGUUGCAGCAUCUUGGAAUAUUUGUUUAAAGGUAACAAAAUGCUCCAUCUGUUGUCUUUAAUUAAUGGUUAAUAACAAUGGAAAUGCUUCGUGAGAUGAUUGGUCUUAAGCAUAAAAGUCAUGUAGGGUGCUAUCUACCUUGUGUAAUAUAGUGCACAAUAAAGAGUACUAUGUUUCUGUACCACUUUCUUUAUUUUGUGCAUCGCGUGUCUUUCUAUGUAUACAUUAUCGAAUUACAUUUUGUAUCGAAGAAUAUUUUGUGUGAUAUGGAUUUCAAUUAUGUUUACACGUAAAACUUGAUAUGCAUUAUGUUUAUAUAUGCACACGGUAAAAAUAUUUAAAAGCCCGUGGCAACGCACGGGCCUUCUACUAGUGUAUACAGUUUCAAUUUCAAAUCUAUACACUCUAUUUGUUUUUCUCCACCUUUUUGCGGUGAUGAAAGAAUUGUAUUGUUUUAGCACGACAAUGAUGUGUAUUUCACUUAUUGCAAAUGUUACAUCCGUAAUGAUUCCUUGUUUUACCACCAGAAAAGAAAAAUCAAAGCAUUCCAAUGUAACAGUAAUCUGAUGCAAAAGAACAGUAGUUUAGUGUUGAACCCUUGAUUAACUGUCAACGAUAUUUUCAUAAACAAAAUAAUCAUUUGUUUUCUUAUAUGGGCUAAGUUGGGCUAUAUAUCGUGGUCAUUAAUCAAGUUCACCUUUUGUGCAGUGUAAGCAUAGACAGUAGGACGAGAAAGAGAAGAACGACAAUUAUCCCUUGUAGCAAUGAAUGGUACUUGGGCGCUGGAGGUGGAGCAUACUGAUGACUAGGAAUAUGUUCACAUUUCAACUCGCCUCUGACGUCAGUGUGCAUUUGCAAAGUUGAAUGGACCUUUGAGAAUGAUUUCUAUAGUUACUUGUUGUUUUGUGUCAAUAGUAUGUGUUAGGUUAACCCACUCUAUUAUAUUAUAAACAUGAAAAUUUCCAUCCCUAUUGCAAUGCAUGACGAAGAUGAGAUGGACGUUAUCUGCUUUUAAAGAAAGUGGCUCCAGCGAGAAAUGUCCCGCUACAACGGUAAACCGAGCGGGAAGGGAAGGUUCCAACAGAAAAAAGGGAAGAUGCAUCGAGGGAUGAGGUUUUUGUGUUGGACCCGGAUGUUGAAGAUAACAUGGUGGAUAGCCCAUAGCAACGCACGGGCAUUCUGCUAGUAGGACCAAUAAUCCAGUACAGUACUCAUUUAAUGACUUAUACUUGAUAUUGUCAGGGAAGAAAAGGAGUAUUUAAUCGAUUACAGAUCAGACCAUCAGUGUUUGACUCAAUAUGAUGUGUGCCCUUACUUUUUUUUUACUAAACAGAAGCUAAAAAUGAGAUUUUGGCUGAUAGUUAACUUAUUUACUUUGGUAAGGCAUAUGUCGAUUUUACUACAUUCUUUGAUCGGCUAUAGUCAAUUUGCUUUAGGACCCAUGCUCUCUGUAGCCUUGAUUUAAUUCAUGCUAGACAUUGUUUCAGAAAACAAGCGAUCUGUUCCAUAAUGCCUAUAUUCUUUCUAAACCCAGAGAAACAUGAUGGUGAUAUUGUUAUGCAUGUAUGAGUUGGACAUCAGCUAUUUAUUUUGUACAUCAAACAUCCAAUACCAUCAUUUUAUUCACUCCAUAUUUUACACUUACUUUCUAAACAUCAUGUAAUACAAAGUUCCCGCUGCAACGCGCGGGGCAUCAUCUAGUUUAAUUAGGAGUAUGGUGCUAUAGAUGCUACUACUAUGCUUACGUGUACUAAUAUUUCGCAGUCGUGCUUCUGCCAACUAUUGCAUGCGCUGACUUGGUUGGUUGUCCUUUGUGCCAAAGAAAGAAAAAUGCAUUUGUGCUAAUUUGCCAAUGUGUGCGUUGGUGCAUGUGUGUAAUAAGUUGUAUAGGCUUAUGUGAAGUCACACAAGAGCAGAACCUUUGCUGAUUAUAAAUUGUUUGAUGAAAGAUUGUAUGUUCAUUUGCCUAAGGGGUUGGUGUGAAAAUCAUCACGACAAACCCUGAAUGGCCUACUUCAUAGUGCUCAGCUGGAACCCAUGACCAGUUCGCCACCAACCCUGAAUACCCUAUUUUAAUUAGGAGUAUGGUGAGUCUAUGAAAAAGUUUACUAUUUACGUAUUGUUCUGAUCCAAUUUGUUUUUUUUUGCUGAGAGCUACUUAUAUGUUUAAUGAUCUGAAAUUUGGAGCGCACCUCACGCAUCAGAUUAUCUUCUAUGCAAAAAAAAAUCCAGAUUUUUUUGAAUUUUUCUAGUUUUUUUUUGAAUUUUCUGUUCAUCGUAGGUGCAGCUGAGCCUCGGCACGGAAUCACCCCGUUCGCUAUAGAUGCUACUAUUAUGCUUACGUGUUCUAAUAUUUAGCCAAUGUUUACUAAGUUGUCCUUGCGCCAAAGAAAGAAAUGCAUUUGUACUCAGUAAGUUGUGCUAAUUUGCCAAUGUGUGCUUAGGUGCAUGUGUGCAAUAAGUUGUAUAUGCUUUCUGUGCAAGUCAUGAGAGCUUUGUGGCAUUGGCAUUGUGUAGAUUCUCCUGCGUCAGGCUAUGUGUACCGAGCUGGUGAUCUACAAAAGGUCGACGGAUCAGCGGGAGCAACAAUGAAAUUACAUGCGGGGUGGACCAUUGAUGAUGAGGAACCUGAAAGACAGUGCAAGAUCUUGAUGUUAAGAUGUGGAGAGGAUCAGGCAGGCAAUGACAAGAUUGGGUGGACGACGAUAGGAACGGGCCAAUCAAUGAUCGAUGUGGUCAUGUCGGUCAUAUAACUGCAUUUCACUGAUACAUUGCUUUUUCGAGAAAAGUCACUUAUAAGGCAUCUUAUAUUUGAUAAUUAUUAAAAAAAGACAAUAGUUCAUACAAUGAAAAGACAACAAGAUAUGAAAUGGCGAGCAAAAAAAUAGACUACAAACAAAACCCGUCUUCUUACUUUGAUUGCACAUCACCCGUCAAAGUUUGAAACUUACACUGAAUCACCGGUAAGGAAAAGGGACACUUGCAAACUCCUUCGCUAAACUAAGCUUUGAAGACUGUGACAACCGUUCACUGCUAGAAACAAUGUCUAGUAAACAUUAAAGGAACAUCAGUUGGGGCAUCAUCCCACGUAAUGUAGGCUUAUAAUGCUUCACCACCAGUCUAGAUGGGGUGGAGAAACCGAACCAUGUCGCAAAAAAAAUUGAUAGAAAAAUGUCAAAAUCACCACACCAAGUGCCAGCCCACUACUUAACUUGAUUGAUACACCAAUUACUAAGAUCCACUAAGAUCCGAAAACAGUCAACAAAUCUAGCGACAUGUACCCUCACAGCCCUACGACGCUGCCAGAUCGAUCAUCGUCGAAGUACCAACAUGGCGGCGUGAAGGAGAGAGCUUGAGUGGCGGCUAGGGUUGGGACAAUUUUCCGAAUACACUCUACUAAGGGCGAAAGUGGUUAGAUAAUUUCGAUGCAACCAAAUAGAGUCACCACCUCACCCCCCUCCCCCCGGUACCAGAAAAGCCCAUGUAUGAACAAGGGUUGAUUUUACUUCCACACUUAGCUACUCUAGGUUGGGGAGUAGGGCCAGGGGGGAAGUUCUAGAUACUUUUCCGUACUUUGUAUCUGGCGUACUUCACCUAAUUUCCUCCGCAGUCUUAGGCUUCGGUGGCAUUUAUCACGCGCUUCUGGGACCUGAGACUCCUGAGGAAUCUUUUCCAUUCUUUGGUUAUGUCUGGAAAGAUAGAAAUAAAAUGACUACAAUUUUGGGUAUUCACUUAAUUUUGUUAGGUCUAGGUGCUUUUCUUCUAGUACUCAAGGCUCUUUAUUUUGGCGGUGUAUAUGAUAUCUGGGCCCCUGGGGGGAGAUGUAAGAAAACUUACCAAUUUGACCCUUAGCCCCAGUGUUAUAUUUGGUUAUUUACUAAAAUCUCCUUUUGGUGGAGAAGGGUGGAUUGUUAGUGUAGAUGAUUUAGAAGAUAUAAUUGGUGGGCAUAUAUGGUUGGGCUUUAUUUGUGUAUUUGGCGGAAUUUGGCAUAUUUUAACCAAACCCUUCGCAUGGGCUCGCCGUGCAUUUGUAUGGUCUGGAGAAGCUUGCUUGUCUUAUAGUUUAGUUGCUUUAUCUGUCUUUGGUUUUAUCGCUUGUUGCUUUGUAUGGUUCAAUAAUACAGCUUAUCCGAGUGAGUUUUAUGGACCCACCGGGCCAGAAGCUUCUCAAGCUCAAGCAUUUACUUUUCUAGUUAGAGACCAGCGUCUUGGAGCUAACGUGGGAUCCUCUCAAGGACCCACAGGUUUAGGUAAAUAUCUAAUGCGUUCCCCAACCGAGGAGGUUAUCUUUGGAGGGGAAACAAUGCGUUUUUGGGACCUUCGUGCUCCAUGGUUAGAACCUCUAAGGGGCCCCAACGGUUUGGACUUGAGUAGGUUGAAAAAAAGACAUACAAGCUUGGCAAGAACGACGCUCAGCAGAAUAUAUGACCCACGCUCCUUUAGGCUCUUUAAAUUCCGUGGGUGGCGUAGCUAUCGAGAUCAAUGCGGUUAAUUAUCUCUCUCCUAGAAGUUGGUUAUCAACUUCUCAUUUUGUUCUAGGAUUCUUCUUUUUUGUGGGCCAUUUAUGGCAUGCAGGAAGAGCCCGAGCUGCCGUAGCAGGUUUUGAAAAGGGAAUCGAUCGUGAUUUGGAACCUGUUCUUUACAUGAACCCUCUUAACUAAGAUUUUCUUAUUUAUACAUGUUCUACUUUUUUUUCUGUUCUGGCUUGGUUAUUCCAUCUAGCCGAGCCAUUCAUUCCUUUUUAUGAAAGAAAGAUAAGGGACAGAAAAAAAAUGAAAGAAACAAACGUAUUCAAUAAGCAAAAGGAGAGAGGGGGAUUCGAACCCUCGAUAGUUCCUAGAACUAUACCGGUUUUCAAGAUCGGAGCUAUCAACCACUCAGCCAUCUCUCUACAGCCUAAUCCUUAUUUUACUCCUACAAAUAGAACAUAGCCAUAUAAAAAAUAAAAAGAUUUGUUAGCCUCUAGAAAGAUGUCAGAUACAAGUUCCUUUUCGAUAUAUCUCUGUAUACUGUAUACACGGAUACAUGAUCCACUAUACCCGCUUGUGAAAUAAAGAGUAAAUAAUCUCUUCUCACCCCAUAUCCAAAUAAAAAGCGGUUUAAUUAAUAAAUUUGAAUUAAAGAGAAGAAUCAAUGGAUUCAUGAUUAAACCCC
rnacentral:lncRNA from 1 species